rnacentral:rRNA from 1 species
UACGAAGGGAGCUAGCGUUGUUCGGAAUUACUGGGCGUAAAGGGCGUGUAGGCGGCUUGACAAGUUGGAUGUGAAAGCCCAGGGCUCAACCCUGGAAUUGCAUUCAAUACUGUCUUGCUUGAAUUCGGUAGAGGUUGGUGGAAUUCCCAGUGUAGAGGUGAAAUUCGUAGAGAUUGGGAAGAACACCCGUGGCGAAGGCGGCCAACUGGACCGACAUUGACGCUGAGACGCGAAAGCGUGGGGAUCAAACAGG